AGUGAACGCUCGCGGUAGGCCUAACACAUGCAAGUCGAACGGCAGCACAGUAAGAGCUUGCUCUUACGGGUGGCGAGUGGCGGACGGGUGAGGAAUACAUCGGAAUCUACUUUUUCGUGGGGGAUAACGUAGGGAAACUUACGCUAAUACCGCAUACGACCUACGGGUGAAAGCAGGGGAUCUUCGGACCUUGCGCGAUUGAAUGAGCCGAUGUCGGAUUAGCUAGUUGGCGGGGUAAAGGCCCACCAAGGCGACGAUCCGUAGCUGGUCUGAGAGGAUGAUCAGCCACACUGGAACUGAGACACGGUCCAGACUCCUACGGGAGGCAGCAGUGGGGAAUAUUGGACAAUGGGCGCAAGCCUGAUCCAGCCAUACCGCGUGGGUGAAGAAGGCCUUCGGGUUGUAAAGCCCUUUUGUUGGGAAAGAAAAGCAGCAGGUUAAUACCCCGCUGUUCUGACGGUACCCAAAGAAUAAGCACCGGCUAACUUCGU
rnacentral:rRNA from 1 species